rnacentral:rRNA from 1 species
AGCCCCCCUCAAGAUGAGAUUUCCCAUCGCGUCAAGCGAGUAAGAUCCCUUGAAGAUGACAAGGUAGAUAGGUCCGAGGUGGAAGCGUGGCGACACGUGCAGCUGACGGAUACUAAUCGAUCGAGGACUUAACUAAG